UGGGUUUAGAACGUCGUGAGACAGUUCGGUCCCUAUCUGCCGUGGGCGUUUGAGAUUUGAGAGGAGCUGCUCCUAGUACGAGAGGACCGGAGUGGACGAACCUCUGGUGUUCCGGUUGUCACGCCAGUGGCAUUGCCGGGUAGCUAUGUUCGGACGGGAUAACCGCUGAAAGCAUCUAAGCGGGAAGCCCACCUCAAGAUGAGAUCUCACCAAAUCAUUCCGAUUUCUGAAGGGCCCUCGAAGACUACGAGGUUGAUAGGCAGGGUGUGUAAGCGCUGCGAGGCGUUGAGCUAACCUGUACUAAUUGCCCGUGCGGCUUGACCAUAUAA
rnacentral:rRNA from 1 species